rnacentral:rRNA from 1 species
GAUUCUGGCUCAGAUUGAACGCUGGCGGCGUGCCUAACACAUGCAAGUCGAACGAGAAAGUCCCUCGGGGGCGAGUACAGUGGCGCACGGGUGAGUAACGCGUGGAUAAUCUACCCAAAGGUCUGGAAUAACAGUUGGAAACGACUGAUAAUACCAGAUGUACUGGCAACGGGAAAGGUGGCCUCUGCUUGCAAGCUACUGCCUUUGGAUGAGUCCGCGUCUCAUUAGCUAGACGGUAGGGUAACGGCCUACCGUGGCAACGAUGAGUAGCAGGCCUGAGAGGGUGGCCUGCCACACUGGGACUGGAACACGGCCCAGACUCCUACGGGAGGCAGCAGUGGGGAAUAUUGCGCAAUGGGGGAAACCCUGACGCAGCGACGCCGCGUGGAGGAUGAAAGGCUUUCGGGUCGUAAACUCCUGUCAAGAGGGAAGAAACCUGUGAAGAGUAACAUGCUUCGCAAUUGACGGUACCUCUAGAGGAAGCACCGGCUAAUUCCGUGCCAGCCGCAGC